GAUGAACGCUGGCGGCGUGCCUAAUACAUGCAAGUCGAGCUAAGCGGGGACGGGGGAGUAACACGUGGAUAACCUCCUAUAAGACUGGGAGAACUUCGGGAAACCGGUGCUAAAACGGAUUAUUAUAGAUGGCACAGCGAUGCAUUAGCUAGGUGGUAAGGUAACGGAUUACCAAGGCAACAAUACAUAGCCGACCUGAGAGUGUGAUCUGCCACACUGGAACUGAGACAAGGUCCAGACUCCUACGGGAGGCAGCAGUAGGGAAUCUUCCGCAAGGGGCGAAAGCCUGACGGAGCAACGCCGCGUGAGUGAUGAAGGUCUUCGGAUCGUAAAACUCUGUUAUUAGGGAGGCGGUACCUAAUCAGAAAGCCACGGCUAACUACGUGCCAGCCGCCGCGGUAAUUC
rnacentral:rRNA from 1 species